AAGUCUCUUAGAUAAUAGAUUAAACCAUCAUAAGAAUCAAGAGUAAGGUGUGUAUCAUGCUCCAUUCAUUGAAUUUGGUUUAGAGACGUACCAAAGCCAGGCCCUCCGCUUGACAAAUAUGGUAGACGAUACACAUCAGCUUUCUCAUUCUUCAGGACGUAGCUAUCAAAACAGAUAUAGAGUAAGACAAUUGUCAGUAGAAGCCUCUAUCAACAUCACCAAACACAUGCAUUUUGAGGCUGAGCUAGGAGAAUAGCCAGUAUAUAAUGUCUCAUCUCUAUAAUGAAGAUGAUGGUUAAUUUGAUACAUACGGGCUACCUCCUUCAAUGAACCG